UCAUUCGAAUUCGCCAUCAUACGUCCAACCGUGCAUUUGAUAUGCAUAUAUAUGCAUCACGAGCCACGGUUGGGCUGUAUGAUGGCGAUACCGAUUGG
rfam:Triticum aestivum genome assembly, contig: Triticum_aestivum_CS42_TGACv1_scaffold_000455_1AL